rnacentral:rRNA from 1 species
GCGGGAAUUCGAUUAGAGUUUGAUCAUGGCUCAGAACGUACGCUGGCGGCACGCCUAACACAUGCAAGUCGAACGAAGUAGCAAUACUUAGUGGCAGACGGGUGAGUAACAUGUAGGUAUCUACCCUUUGGCCUGGAAUAACACGAGGAAACUUGUGCUAAUACCGGAUGAGUCUUUACGGAGAAAGCUUUAUGCACCAUUGGAUGAGCCUGCACUUGAUUAGUUUGUUGGUGGGGUAAUGGCCUACCAAGACUUUGAUCAAUAGCUGAUUUGAGAGGAUGAUCAGCCACAUUGGGACUGAGACACGGCCCAAACUCCUACGGGAGGCAGCAGUGGGGAAUCUUGCACAAUGGAGGAAACUCUGAUGCAGCGAUGCCGCGUGAGUGAAGAAGGCCCUUGGGUUGUAAAGCUCUUUCGUCGGGGAAGAAAAUGACUGUACCCGAAUAAGAAGGUCCGGCUAACUUCGUGCCAGCAGCCGCGGUAAUACGAAGGGACCUAGCGUAGUUCGGAAUUACUGGGCUUAAAGAGUUCGUAGGUGGUUGAAAAAGUUGGUGGUGAAAUCCCAGAGCUUAACUCUGGAACUGCCAUCAAAACUUUUCAGCUAGAGUUUGAUAGAGGAAAGCAGAAUUUCUAGUGUAGAGGUGAAAUUCGUAGAUAUUAGAAAGAAUACCAAUUGCGAAGGCAGCUUUCUGGAUCAUUACUGACACUGAGGAACGAAAGCAUGGGUAGCGAAGAGGAUUAGAUACCCUCGUAGUCCAUGCCGUAAACGAUGUGUGUUAGACGUUGGAAAUUUAUUUUCAGUGUCGCAGCGAAAGCGAUAAACACACCGCCUGGGGAGUACGACCGCAAGGUUAAAACUCAAAUGAAUUGACGGGGACCCGCACAAGUAGUGGAGCAUGUGGUUUAAUUCGAAGAUACGCGCAGAACCUUACCAACACUUGACAUGUUCGUCGCGACUUUAAGAAAUUAAAGUUUUCGGUUCGGCCGGACGAAACACAGGUGCUGCAUGGCUGUCGUCAGCUCGUGUCGUGAGAUGUUGGGUUAAGUCCCGCAACGAGCGCAACCCUCACUUUUAGUUGCCAUCAUUAAGUUGGGCACUCUGAAAGAACUGCCAGUGAUAAGCUGGAGGAAGGUGGGGAUGACGUCAAGUCCUCAUGGCCCUUACGUGUUGGGCUACACACGUGCUACAAUGGUAUUUACAACAGGAAGCAAGACGGCGACGUUAAGCAAAUCCUUAAAAAAUACCUCAGUUCGGAUUGCACUCUGCAACUCGAGUGCAUGAAGCUGGAAUUACUAGUAAUCGUGGAUCAGCGUGCCACGGUGAAUGCGUUCCCG